AGAGGUCCAAUCAGAGACACAGCUGCCAGUCUACACCACAGCCACAGCAACAGCCAGAUCCAAGCCACAUAUGCAACCUAUGCUGCAGCUUAGAGCAAUGCCAUAUCUUUAACCCACUGAGAAAGGCAAGGGAUCAAACCCACAUCCUCAUGGAUACUAGUCAGGUUCUUAACCCACUGAGCCACAACAGGAACUCCAAUGCUUCUCUUGAUCCUUGGGAAACAUUAACAUCUUAUACUUGAAUUUUUGAGCAUACAACAAACUUUGUUCUUUUACAAAAAGAAAAAAAUGGAGAACAAAAAAAAAUUCUCAAACAGGAAAUAACACUGGUAUCUAUUUUCGAUCAUCUCAAAAAAUAAUUCAGGCCUCCAAGCCACUUAAGGACAUAAAAAUUAAGUAUAUGAGAUGAUAGGUCAUACGCAGCCCAUGCUGGUAGCCCAUAUACCACAGAAUAAUAAUCUUGGAUGAAUUUUAUUUUUCUGAAAACAGAAUCCAGAAUUUACCACAACAAACAAGGCAGUACUAAAAUCUAAAACCUUUUGAGUCCCAAAACAACAAAAUACAUUAAAACUUAGUCCUUCAUAAAUAAGUAUACUAAAUACAGCCACUAGUAAUCUCAAGUACUACGGAACAUUUCUCUAAAAACAAAAAGGAUGCAAUCUCUUUUUUCACAAAAACUUAACAAACUUAUUUGGGUUAAAAUACAGAAUAGUGGUUCUAAAUUUUGUAAAAACCACCUUAAGACUUAACAAAAGUAAAUGGAAGAAUUCAAAAAGAGUUCAUCAAAAAAAAAAAGAGUUGGUCAGAAGUGAACUAAUUAUAUAACCAAUGCCUAGGUAUAAAGCUAUAUAAGCUUAGCAUGAAGAGAGGACUCAAUUAAGAAGAACAAGAGAAAUAAGUUAAGUUCUGCAUUCUAGUAGAUGAGGAAUAGAAAUAACCAAAUAAACCUAUUCAACGUCAACUCUAAUCCUCCUAUCUCAAGACAACUAGCACUUCUAAUCUGUGUGUACUCAUCAUAACAUUUGAAUAUCUUGUCCUGGAUGUGUAACCCAAUUCUAAGACAGUCUUACCACCCAAAACUACAAAUUAUUCCUUGUCCCUCUGUUUAAACUUCCUCAUUCAUUUCUUUUCAGUUGAUGGUUCGCAUCCUGGAAAUGUAAACCAAUGAAUACCAGCUAUCAGAACACAAAUAUCCUUUCUUAACUAUUAAAUAAUUUUAUCAUUUCACAAUGACCAAACAAAAGAGAAUGGCCAAUAUCCUGAGUUUCUAAUUUUCCAGUCUGACUUUAACAUCUGAAAAAGUCUUACAAAUCUGUUUCUUUUGGUGGGCUGAUGCCUCAGUGGGAUGAUGAGCCAUAAUCCAGGAGUAAGAAUGUAAGCAAAUAGGACCAAGAGAUACAAAUUUCUAAUUGUUCAAGGUUUCUUCAAAAUCCUUUAAAGAACUGUAAAGCAUUAAAAUUUCAAAACAAAGGCAAUUCAGUUCAGCUUCACAAAUAUGUCUUACCUGGAAAACUUCUAAUUAAACUCUUUCCAAACUGAGAUAAGAAAUUUAACCCUACAUCAGUCAGAUUUCACUUUUUAUUCAUGAGGAAUAAGAUUCACCUAUUCAUUUUACAAUAUUUACCAAAUGCUAAAUAUAUUAUGAACACUGCAACUCAGUAUUGCAAUAAAAAAUAAAUAUAUAAGAACUGACCUUAAGGAACUCAAAAUCUAAUGAUGAAGAAAGACUGUUAAGUAUCCCAGGAAUAAUCUAAGGAAGAAAGGGGAACCAUUCCUAUAACUAUGGAUUUCCUAAUGCUUUUCCAAUAUCUAGUACAUCUAUUUUUUACAUAGCUGCCUUUAGGAUUAAAACUCAUAAUCUUAUUUCCAAUACCUGCUAACCUUCAUUUUAAGAAGCCAAGUUGGAGUUCCCAUCAUGGCCCAGCAGAAACAAAUCUGACUCAUACCCAUGAGGAUGUAGGAUCGAUCUCUGGCCUCACUCAGUGGGUUAAGGAUCCAGGUGUUGGCUCAAACUGUGGUGUAGGUCACAGACACAGCUCAGAUCUGACACUGCUGUGGCUGUGGCAUAGGCCAGCAGCUAUAGUUCCAAUUCGACCCUUAGCCUGGGAAAUUCCAUAUGCCUCAGGUGUGGCCCUAAAAAUACCAAAAGAAAAAAAAAAAGAAGCAGCAGCAGCAGCAAAGUUUAUUAGAGACUCAGGAAUUUCCUGAAGAAUACUAUUGUCUAACAAAAGCAUAAGUUAAUUGCAAAAGAGAAAACUGGAAGGUUUUUAUCAAGAUGAAGUAUAUUUUAGCUCAAAAGGAAUGAAUUUAGAUUUAAUUAGGUUAAAGUACAAACUACCUUCAAAUGAAGCAGAAAUACAAUUUUACUUUGUACAUUGUAACAAAACCUAUUUUUCCUCUAGAACCUGAAUCAGAGUGAAUAUAUAUCCCUAUAUACUGCAGUGCAAAGAGCUCUUAAAUUCAGUUUAAAUAAGAUUCUCAUUUCUCUUUUGCUAAAGAGGAAAGGGGAGAAAAACAAAACCUAAGUUUUCUCUUUUUUUUUUUUUUUUNNNNNNNNNNGCAUAUGGAGGUUCCCAGGCUAGGGGUCAAUUUGGAGCUACAGCUGCCAGCUUAUGCCACAGCCACAGCAACUUGGGAUCUGAGCUGAGUCUGCGACCUACACCAUGACUCACAAAAAGCCCAGAUCCUUAACCCACUGAGCAAGGCCAGGGAUCGAACCCUCAUCCUCCU
rnacentral:lncRNA from 1 species